AUUGAACGCUGGCGGCAGGCCUAACACAUGCAAGUCGAACGAGUGGCGGACGGGUGAGUAAUGUCUGGGAAACUGCCUGAUGGAGGGGGAUAACUACUGGAAACGGUAGCUAAUACCGCAUACCAUCGGAUGUGCCCAGAUGGGAUUAGCUAGUAGGUGGGGUAAAGGCUCACCAAGGCGACGAUCCCUAGCUGGUCUGAGAGGAUGACCGGCCACACUGGAACUGAGACACGGUCCAGACUCCUACGGGAGGCAGCAGUGGGGAAUCUUGGACAAUGGGCGCAAGCCUGAUGGAGCCAUGCCGCGUGUAUGAAGAAGGCCUUCGGGUUGUAAAGUUCUUUCGGCGGGGAGGCGUUACCCGCCGAAAAAGCACCGGCUAACUCCGUGCCAGCAGCCGCGGUAAUUC
rnacentral:rRNA from 1 species